UACGGAGGGUGCAAACGUUGCUCGGAAUUAUUGGGCGUAAAGCGCACGUAGGCGGCCGAAUAAGUCGGGUGUGAAAGCCCUGGGCUCAACCCAGGAAGUGCACUCGAAACUGCUCGGCUUGAAUAUGGAAGAGGGUCGCGGAAUUCCCGGUGUAGAGGUGAAAUUCGUAGAUAUCGGGAGGAACACCAGUGGCGAAGGCGGCGACCUGGGCCGAACUAU
rnacentral:rRNA from 1 species